rnacentral:lncRNA from 1 species
CUCUUCUGCACGCACGAGCGGCCAAUACUCGCCAGCAGACGCCAUGGACGCCUACGUUCUGGGUGAGAGCCAGCCGCUGAGCGAAUUCUGCGCUAACUUGGGCCUGUAGUCAUCAUGGCUUUCCCAGCCUUGCUAUUUUGCGUCUCUUCACGUUCUUGACAUGGAAGCUGCCACCUCUAACUCUUCACGAACAAAAGCGAACGCUGAACGUCCAAUAUGCUUCUACUAGAAAAGCACCGGGCCUUGCGCACCACGAAGAAUGGGAGCCUCUGAAGACAAAGAUUCGACAAAGUGCCAUCACACAAGCGUCAGAUGCCUGGAAGC